rnacentral:rRNA from 1 species
AGACCCGAAACCCGGUGAUCUAGCCAUGGGCAGGUUGAAGGUUGGGUAACACUAACUGGAGGACCGAACCGACUAAUGUUGAAAAAUUAGCGGAUGACCUGUGGCUGGGGGUGAAAGGCCAAUCAAACCGGGAGAUAGCUGGUUCUCCCCGAAAGCUAUUUAGGUAGCGCCUCGUGAAUUCAUCUCCGGGGGUAGAGCACUGUUUCGGCUAGGGGGCCAUCCCGGCUUACCAACCCGAUGCAAACUGCGAAUACCGGAGAAUGUUAUCACGGGAGACACACGGCGGGUGCUAACGUCCGUCGUGAAGAGGGAAACAACCCAGACCGCCAGCUAAGGUCCCAAAGUCAUGGUUAAGUGGGAAACGAUGUGGGAAGGCCCAGACAGCCAGGAUGUUGGCUUAGAAGCAGCCAUCAUUUAAAGAAAGCGUAAUAGCUCACUGGUCGAGUCGGCCUGCGCGGAAGAUGUAACGGGGCUAAACCAUGCACCGAAGCUGCGGCAGCGACGCUGAUGCGUUGUUGGGUAGGGGAGCGUUCUGUAAGCCUGCGAAGGUGACCUGUGAGGGUUGCUGGAGGUAUCAGAAGUGCGAAUGCUGACAUAAGUAACGAUAAAGCGGGUGAAAAGCCCGCUCGCCGGAAGACCAAGGGUUCCUGUCCAACGUU